AAUAUUGGUUAAAAUGAUUACAUUUGCAAAAUAAAAUUCCAUCGGGGUAUGUCUUUGAAACAAAGGGAAAAGAUAUGCAUGUGUUGUGAUUUCCAAAUAGAGUAGAAAAUGUUAAACAUUUCUGCAGUGAAUUGUUGGUUUUUAAUGCCAGUAAAUGACCACCACAAUAACAAAAUAACAAGAUGUCGUCUUCUAAACUUACAAGAAAACAACAUCUCCAAGAAGAGAACAACAGCAAUCAAAGUAACCAUGUCAUCUGUGGCAUCUUCAGGAGGAUGUGCAGCAAUCUGAACACGGUUCCAAGAACGUGGUGGGUGUCUAGUGCUUUGUCAGCCUGGCAGGCAGAGGGAGAGGCACUGAAGGCAUGCUAUGAAAUGAUGACCUCUUGAACAGAGCAUGUGAAUCUGAGGACCAUUGGAACAAAAGGAGUCAUUCUGAUGUCCAUUUCAGAUGAGACAUUGGAUUUGAGACACAGGUGCAGAAUCACUAGCUGCCUACAGCUCCUGCUGCCAUGGCUCUCUGCUGUGGUGGACCAUACUCUGCAAUGGUGAGUCAAUGUAAGCUCUUAUUUUUUUAUGUUGCUUUUGCCAGGGUACUUUAGUACUGAAAUCAGUCAAGCAACUAACACGGGUAUCCUAGAUUAUGAUGAGACAUUAUCAUUCUUGACAUUGAAAUUACUGAUUAGUAUUGUACCAGGACCUAUACAUCUUUUUCUACAGUGUUCAUUAUAAGAAAUUGGGAGCC
rnacentral:sRNA from 1 species